UUGUGCCAGCUUUGUCAACAAAUAUUCUAAAAUUUAAAUAAUGCAGAGAAGAUUAGCCUGACUCUGUACAAUGGUGACCUGAAGAUUCAUGAAACAUUUCAUAUUUUC
ensembl:snRNA Gm22605 predicted gene, 22605